UUGUAUGUAAAGUAAAUAAGGUUUUUAAAAUGUUUAAGAAGCUUCAUUUAAAAUUAAAUUAAAAUGCAGAGCCCCCCGGUCCAGUGGCCAGGACCCGGGCAGUGUGAGUGCCGCUGAAAAUCAGUUCGUGUGCCGCCAUCGGCAUACGUGCCAUAGGUUGCCUACCCCUGGACUAGAUGGAGACUAUAGACUUGCAUAGGGUAUGAGAUUGAGGAUGGAAAAUGGAUUUUAUCAUGAACGACACUAUGGACCCUAUCCUGCUGACUCUUUCUCCUGUGAGUAAUCUUUACACGAGCAGAAGUCCCUCUGAUGCCAUUUGGACUACUCUUGAGUAAUAAGGUUUGCAGGAUCAGGCCCUAUUUUGAAUCUUAGAUUUCCAAAAUGAAAGGCUAGCAAACAAUUAAACUACAGUAGCAUUUAAACACAUACUUAACUUUGACAUGCAAGUACUCCAUUUGAAAUCAAUGGAAUACUCAUGUGCUUAAAGUUAAACAUGUGCUUAAGUGCUGCGUGGGAUCACAGCCUGGUUAUUUUUGUCUUCAUUUGGAUAUUGUAUAGAUGACAGAAAAAUGAAGUGGCACAGCAGAGCCAUUGAAAUCAAUAAGUCAAUAUUAUGAGUUCCCAGUACAUUUUGAUAAUCCCAUAUCUGCUUAGUUGAUUAAUAUUGUACUGCAGAGAUUUCACCACACUUACAACAUGUUCAAAUAUGGAAUCACUCUAUACUUACUGAAAAUGAGUAUUUGAUCCAGAACCCAAGUGUUUUCUUUUAAAUGUUGCAUUCAGAGGACUACAUUAUUUGUCUCAUAUCAAGCAUGACAUGAUGUGGUUCUUUCAUGUUGAUUGGCAUGAUGCCAUGGGACAUGAUAUGAUGCAGAAUAAUUAGCUUGGAUUUGAAGGCGAACAUUCUCAUUCCUGGAGAGGCUACAUGACUAUCUCUGCUUCAGCAUGGGCUGAUUUUAGUUAAUACUGUUUUUGUUUUAUUUGCAGGGCUGUGUGGGGACUACAUAGCAUUUGUUUUUCUACCUGAACUAAAUAUUAGAUUUGUUAGCUGUAAGAUUAGAACUGUUUUUCAAAAGUUAAAGUUUUGUUAAGAAUAGGCAAUAUAGCCAGAUCUUCAGGUAGCGUACAACAGUCAGCACCACUCCAGUGACUUUAGUGGAGCUACACCAAUUUACACCAGCUACAGAUCUAGCCCAGGUUCAGUGGAAAAACCAUAUAUUUCUGAAAGAAAGAGGGAGUGAAAGGCAAGUGGGGCAAGGAAGUCAUAUGGACCAAAUUCUCUGCAGAUGUAAAUCAAAGCACAUAGAAUUAAGCCAGUAGAGAAUUUGGCCCUAUAUUUUUGAUAUAAUAAGGUUGCCUCGGGAGUCAUAAAAUGAUGAAAGUCAGCAAACGGCCUUACUUACUUUGUCCAUGGCCUACAGGAAAAAAAGGUGUACCAUUCACCCUACUACCUUCUUUGUGGCCAACAGGAAAUGAACGUGCAUCAGUCGCCUCACUUGCCUUGUCUGUAUAAAUCAGAAAAGUAGGCAUGCUAGUCAUUCUAUUUACCUUACCUAUGAACAGCAAGAAGAGAAUUUACAGCAAUCACUUUGCUUUGACUCAUAAGAAGAAAGAAGCACAUGCAGGUUGAUAUUCGAAACCAUUAUUCCAGUCUGUGUUUGCUGUUUCUACGUGGAGGAAAAUAUGUUAAUUUCAAUGGUAACCAUUCUGUGAAUUGCUCCACUGCUUACUGGAGAAGCUUGCUUUGCAGUGCAGUCAUGUCUCAUAUACAUUAUAUAUUUUUCUCAACUAGUCCUUUGAAGCAUUAUCUCAGAAUUCUCCGACUGCACACGACAGAGUUUUUAGCUGUAUUUGGUGGCUUCCUAAUCUUGAAUACAGUAUGAAUUUGCACUAGUUUCACACUGGUCCUCACUGACUUUGAUUGAACUGCUCCUGAUUUACAGUGGUGUAGAUACUUCGGGGCUAUCUAGCUAAGCAAGGCCCAGAUUUUGCUGCCCUUACUUAUAUUACAUAAUACUUUAGGUCCCAGUCUUGUAAUGGGAGUACUCUUAGUGCACAAAGUUAAGCCUGUGUGUAGGUGUUUGCAGGAUCAAGGCCUUACUUUGCAAGUUGUUCCACUGGUUUUCAAUUGAAUUGUUUGUGGAGUAAGGGCUUGACCCUGGUCGCAUUCAGAUCAGUGCAAAAACCUUAAUGGGGCAGGACCAACCCCUUAGAUAUUAUUCAAUGAGAGGACGGCCAGCACAAUCUGAUCCAAUCCGAUUAGGAUAUAUACUGUUUAUUUUUCACAAAACUGACUCAUUUUCAAACUAUAUAGUUCAGUUUUUAGCUUAAUACAUUUUCAAAAGAAAAUAAUUUGCAGAGAACUUUUAUCUAAAUUUUCUUCCCAAUUCUAAUUUUUGAUUCAGCUAACACAGUGCUCCUACUUAACACGGGAGUACUACAAGACUGCAUUAAAGAGCUCCCUCCAGAUCUAGAUUCUGUCCCUGAUCCUUCAAAGUCUUAUAUAUGUGCUUCACUUUACAAACUGAGUAGUCCCAUAGAUUUCAUUUCCUGGAUCAGGCUCAUAUUAUUUAACUCCUCAGCAACAUACUCAACUACAAGCAAUUAAAUAAAAUAAUGGAUUUUUUUUUAAAGUCCAGUUAUUUUAGGCGCUUAUUUUUUUAAAAAAAUUCUUAACUGAAAGAGAAUUUCAGAUAUAUUAUUUGCAGCCUAAAAGUGGAAACCAUACGUAUGAUUAAGAAAAAGUCUAUAUGACAUAAAGUUCUCAGGGAGACACAGAUGGAAAAGGAUUUGGAAGAAGCCGUAGGGGCUGUGCACAAAUUCAUAGCUGACAGUAACUUAAGACAGAUACUACUAUCUACUACACACAGAUGUUUUUCAUCAUUUUGUCUCUGCAACUUGAUAUAUAAUAAUGGGCCCAAUUUUAUUUAGGAAGUGCUCCCAGGCAUUUCCAACCUUUUUUCUCUCCAUAUGUACACAUUUUUAUGUCACUCCAUUCUGAGAGAAUAUAUGUAGCACAACAGGGAGCAGACUGAAUAAUCAUAUUUUAUUUCCCAGCAAUCCAAAGACACGCUUAGCCUGGUGAAAAACUAACAAGCAAAAUCUGACAAGGACUCAUUUGAAGACAAAUAGAGGGAUGAAGAGGAGACCUAAUGUGAGGAGCAGAUUAUUCCACAUUGCUUUCAGGGUGAUGACAAAGCAGAUUAACUGCAGAUUUCCAUUUCUGGUGAACUCAGUCAGCAAGCUACUGCUCUCUAUCCAAUAUGAGAAACAGACGUACCAACAAAUAUGUCAUUUUUCAAAAGGAGAUUUCUCCCUUCCUGUCUGUUUUUCCACUUUCUUCAUCUUUCUGCAAUAAAGCCACAAUCAUGCCAUGUUCAGAACUUUCAACGAUUCCAAUACCAACAAACUGUGAUGUAAGAAGCAGGAAUUAAUACUUUAGUGGAUGAAAAGAAAAUGGAGAAAACAUCAGGGAGAAAUAAACAGAAACUCUCUUGCAACCUUAACUCUAGUGCUAGCACAAAAGUAGCACAGAUAUUUUGAGAGUAAACAUAUUGUAUGUAAAUGUACAUUGCUGUGGUUUUUUUAAAUGUUGUGUCUCGUGCAUGCAGUUAAAGGAUGGAACAGUGAAAAAACAGUGCUUGAA